rnacentral:tRNA from 1 species
CGGAGCGUAGCGCAGCCCGGUAGCGCACUUGACUGGGGGUCAAGGGUCGUGGUUCGAAUCCCGCCGCUCCGACCA